CGGACUGACAAUUCUGCAAGUCAAUAACUGGUUUAUUAAUGCCCGAAGGCGCAUAGUUCAACCUAUGAUCGACCAAUCAAAUCGCACAGGUCAAGGUACGCCGUAUAGUCCUGACGGGCAGCAAAUGGGAGGCUAUGUAAUGGAUGGGCAACAGCGCAUGACAAUUCAUCCCCCAGGACCAAUGGGAAUGACGAUGGGUAUGGAGGGACAGUGGCACUACAUGUGAAAGUCUGAACUCUCCGUUGACAUCAGAAGGGAAGACUCCAGUUCUAGGCUUGGUGACCUUGGAGAAGAAGACACUUCCUGGUUUACAGGCACAGGAUUCACGGAGCAUCUGGAUCUUGGCGUGCCCUUUCCUUGGACUUCCCCUGCACUUGACCAGAAUGUCCUCCCUCCCCACGGCACACGUCGGCUCUCUCUGCACUGCCACACCACCCUCUCCUCCAGGAGGCAACGUGCAUGGACCCCCGUGGCCCAUGCUUCUCCUUCCACACCUCCCUCUUUCCUUUACUCCGUUUCCCCGAAGGAGGAAGUCUCCCGGCUACACGUCCCUCAGACUUCAAGGGUUCCAAAAUGGUCAAGGUUUAGACCGCAGAUGGUGGAGUGUGACAAGCAAGUCCUCCCAACAUAAGAAGAAUGGACAGAUGGACAGCACUGGUCAACUCCGGAAGAGAACUAAGGGGCAGGGGGAGAAGCAAAAAGGAUUAAUUGUUAAGUUGUUGGUGUCUCUCUCUCCCUCCCUCUCUCUCUCUCUCUCUUUCCUCCCCCCCCACAGAAAAUAUACAUGAGUCUGUACCCCCCUCUCUUCCCUCCACCUGGGAGAUUGCUGUUGGCCACAUUGGCCAUGUCCAUUCAUCUUUUCAAACAAGACAAAAAUUCCCAAAAGUU